rnacentral:rRNA from 1 species
UACGUAGGUGGCAAGCGUUGUCCGGAUUUAUUGGGCGUAAAGCGCGCGCAGGCGGUUAUGUAAGUCUGAUGUUAAAGCCCGGGGCUCAACCUCGGUCCGCAUUGGAAACUGUGUAACUUGAGUGCAGAAGAGGAAAGUGGUAUUCCACGUGUAGCGGUGAAAUGCGUAGAGAUGUGGAGGAACACCAGUGGCGAAGGCGGCGAUCUGGGAAGAUACUGACGCUGAGGUGCGAAAGCGUGGGAGCAAACAGG